AUGUCAGAGCUCCCUUUGCUCAGUGGUACAGGGACAUCCACAGCUUUGUGUCCUUUGCAUUUUUGCUCAUCCCAAAUCCAUCCCUGGCUCCGUGGCAGUGUUGCUGGGGCUGUGGGGCCUGGGCAGUGCAGCCACUGCUGGAUCCCAGGGGGGAUCCUGGCCUUGGAACUGGAAAACAAAAGGGUUUGGGUGGCCUCCUGUGGGACUGAGGCUGCUGUGGCUCUGUCCCCUCUGGACAGCCCUGGUGUGUGCCCAAAGCCCAGGGCAGGCCCUGCAAGAGGUUCCUGUGGUUCCUGUGGCCUCUGGCUGCAGACCUGGGGGAUUUUCACCCCCAGGACACGGGAAGGGCUGCAGGAAGCUGCUCCCAAGGCUUGUUCUGCCUUGGAGUGUGGGCACAGCUUUGGGCUGGGUUAUCCCAGGAACUGCAGCUGCUCCUGCUCUCCCUGUGGAGCUGAGGGAUGGCAAUUCCUGCAUUGUCCCCAGCUCCCAGGGCUGCCCCUGGGCUCCCAGAGCUGCUCUCAGUGCUUGUCCCUCCUCCUGGGCUGUGUGUCCUGCCUGAACAUUCCUGGUGAGAAGUUCUCACAUGCAGGGACACCUGGGCAUUCCCGAUGGAUGCACUGCAGGAAUUCUCAGUCAGAGGGACCCGAGGGGCUGCCCAUGUUCAGAUCCAUGUUUAUACCCAUGUUUUCUCCACUGAAGCCUGUUUUUGUCACUGGGUGGUGUUGCAUGGACACAGGGAAUGUUUGUGGAUGUGUCCAGGGUGUUCCCAGCCCCAGCCUGGGGCACAGGGUCCCUCCCCUGGCCCGUGGCUCUGGGAAAUUGCUGUUCCAAGCAGCAUGGAUCCAGCAGAGCCUCACCUGGGCUUUUCCCCUUUCCUGGAGGCCAGGCCAGGUGUUCAGGAGGGUUUGGUCCCUGGGAGUGAGCACAGAUCCAUGGAUUGUGUCUGUGGCCUGGCAGUGUGGGGGGCCCAGGAGCAGCCCUGGGCGCCCCAGGGCAGGAGGAGAAGGGAGCUGGCCCUGGUGGGAAUCCCGUCCUGCUGCUCCUGCCCAGGCUGGGGCUCCCCUCCCACCACUUCUGUUUUUCCUGAGGAUUUUUGUGGCUCUUAAAAGACAACCAGGAAUUUUGCUCAGCCCAGUUCCGAGCUCGCUGCGGAAGGAUCCUGUGGGUUGUUCCUGAACCAAACUGUUCCUCUGGUCUUCCAAGCUCCUGCUCUGUCCCGUGGCAAAGGGAACCCCCUGGAUUUCCUCUCCGGAGCUCCCAGCACAGCAAUUCCUGUUCCUGCCUCGAGUCCGUCCGUCCCUCCCGGGUGUGUUUGUGCUGGAAUCCCCCGGUUCUGUUGGUAUUCCCACAGCCCUCUGUUAUUUUCUGUCUCUGCUCCUGAGUUGUAAUUCCCGCCAGGAGAACUGCGUUAUUUAAUCCGGAUUAACCAAUUCCUGUAAUGCUGCAGUUUCACUUUUCUGUUCCUGACAGUUUGUAACUCCCAUGGAAAACGAGUCACCUCUCUUGGUUUUGCUGUCGUCCGCUCCCUGGUUUUCCCUUCCCUUCACUCAUAGUCACUUUGGGUUGUAUCAUUGUUAGAAUAAAGACCAAACGAUGCUGUUGGAUUUGGAAGCU
rnacentral:lncRNA from 1 species